rnacentral:rRNA from 1 species
GAUGAACGCUGGCGGCGUGCCUAAUACAUGCAAGUCGAGCGAACGGACGAGAAGCUUGCUUCUCUGAUGUUAGCGGCGGACGGGUGAGUAACACGUGGAUAACCUACCUAUAAGACUGGGAUCACUUCGGGAAACCGGAGCUAAUACCGGAUAAUAUUUUGAACCGCAUGGUUCAAAAGUGAAAGACGGUCUUGCUGUCACUUCUAGAUGGAUCCGCGCUGCAUUAGCUAGUUGGUAGGGUAACGGCUUACCAAGGCAACGAUGCAUAGCCGACCUGAGAGGGUGGUCGGCCAUACGGGAACUGAACCACGGUCCAGACGACUACGGGAGGCAGCAGAAGGGAAUGUGCCGCAAUGGGCGAAAGCCUGACAGAGCAACGCCGAGUGAGUGAUGAAGGUCUUCGGAUCGUAAAACUGUGUUAUGAGGGAAGAACAUAUGUGUAAGGAAAUGUGCACAUAGUGACGGUACCUAAUCAGAAAGCCACGGCUAACUACGUG